rnacentral:misc_RNA from 1 species
UGGGGAAGGAGCUGAAGCCGCAGCCUGGCCCCGCGGAGUAGAACCACUGGAAGAGGGACCAGAGGAAGCUGCCGACGAAGGACUUGAAGAGGAUGGAGACCUGCUGCUUGGCCUGGAUGGCGCCCUGCGGCGUGUGGAAGCUGUUGAUGAGGUGCGCCGUGGCGGAGCCGCUCGGGUACGUGAGCUUGUAGCUGAUGAUCAUGAUCUUGCGCAGCGGCACGAUGGAGAAGAGGCCCACGAAGCUGACGAGGAAGAGGAAGGCGAUGAUCCGGCCCAGCGACGGCUCCUCCACGUUGAUGCUGGUCUUGGCCUCGUCGAAGCCCUCGGCGAUCUUCUUGCUCAUGCCCAGGAUGUAGGUGCCGAAGCCGCCGCUGAAGGCGAUGCUGGAGCAGGA